AUUAAAGUUGUUGCAGUUAAAAAGCUCGUAGUUGGACUUGUGUGCGCUGUCCGCGGGUGGCCUGCGCCCAAAAGGGCGUUUCGGUUCGGCCCCGGUGGCGCCUUGAAAUCUGCAGCUGGGGGGACGUUGGCCUUAACUGGUCGGCGACCGCACGCCGGCUGCUCGGUUACUGUGAGAAAAUUAGAGUGUUCAAGGCAGGCAUUGGGUGCAAUUGAAUACAUUAGCAUGGAAUAAUAAAAUAUGGCUCCUGCCGUAUUUUGUUGGUUUUGACUGGUGGGAGUAAUGAUUGAUAGGGACGGUUGGGGGUGCUAGUAUUGAGCGGCCAGAGGUGAAAUUCAUGGAUUCGCUCAAGACUAACUUAUGCGAAAGCAUUCACCAAGGACGUCCUCUUUAAUCAAGAACGAAAGUUGGGGGAUCGAAGACGAUCAGAUACCGUCGUAGUCUCAACCAUAAACUAUGUCGACUUGGGAUCGGCGGUAGUUUUUUCAUUAAGACACUGUCGGGACCACGGGAGAAAUCAAAGUGUCUGGACUCUGGGGGAAGUAUGGUCGCAAGGCUGAAACUUGAAGGAAUUGACGGAAGGGCACCACCAGGAGUGGAGCCUGCGGCUUAAUUUGACCCAACACGGGGAAACUUACCAGGUCCAGAGAUGUAGAGGAUUGACAGAUUGAAGCUCUUUCUUGAUCACUUCGGUGGUGGUGCAUGGCCGUUCUUAGUUGGUGGAGUGAUUUGUCUGGUUAAUUCCGUUAACGAACGAGACCUCAGCCUGCUAGUGUAGUCGGCUGGAUUGCCUUUGGCGAUCCGUGAUUUCGACUUCUUAGAGGGACAAUCGACGCGCAGUCGAUGGAAGUUUGAGGCAAUAACAGGUCUGUGAUGCCCUUAGAUGUUCUGGGCCGCACGCGCGCUACACUGCUGGGCUCAGCGAGUUUUACUUGGCCGAGAGGCCCGGUUAAUCUUGUGAAAUCCCAGCGUGCUUGGGCUCGCCUCCUGCAACUGGAGGCGCCAACGAGGAAUUCCUAGUAGACGCAGGUCAUCAACCUGCAUCGAUUACGUUCCUGCCCUUUGUACACACCGCCCGUCGUUCCAUAAGAGUGAGGCAUCCGGUGAAUUCUCGGGAGAGCCUGGGCGUGGCCAGCAAUGGUCUGCUCGGGUUUGAACUUGCAUAAACUUGGUGCCUAUGAUUAGGG
rnacentral:rRNA from 1 species